CUUCAUACUCCAAGCGCAAAAAUGGCGAACAUUUUCGUCAAUUUUUGAAUACAGAAUUCGUUGAUUCUUGCUUAGAUUGCGAUUGUUUACAAAGAUGGCGGAACAUAUGUAUGGAGAGGAAUGGGACAGUGAUGAGUUUCAGACAGCUCUGAAAGUAGUGCUAAAGUGUGAAAUACAGUCUCUGUUGGAGAGAUUGUCGGAGACGGGGGAAGAGACAGUGUUACUCACAGCCAGUGCAGCAGAUUUGUGUGUUGGACAUUUGGCAUCAUCAAAAGCACUGAGAUUUGUCAACACAAUCUGAUGUAGGCAUUGUCAAGAACAAAUUCCUUUACUUUCUAACAGGAGCUAAUCCACAAUCUCAAGGAACAAGGCAAGUUACGACUGGGCCAGGAACCAGUGCAGUUACAGGUAUAAAU
rnacentral:lncRNA from 1 species